CGUGAAGUCAGGCCGGUAGGACCUGAAAAUAAACUCGGAUAUACACACUUCAAGCUACAAUGAGCGCCGAAAGAAAAACUAAUUCGAAAUCAUGGAUGAUUUACACAUUACAAAUGCAAUUCCUAAUGGCAAUAAGAAUGUGGGUCCAAGGCAGCAAGCAAUUGAAUGCGAUUGUUGCCAAAAAUGGCAACACCGAACAUGCGAAACCGUUUCUUUGUUUUCUGAAUUGAGCGUGGUGGAGAUCAAGAAGGCGUCCGCGGCUCCGAGAGAGUGUGUGUCUACCGUGGUCUGCUACCAAAUGUCAAUUGACAUAAAGUAAAAGAUUGUUGAAAAUGUAUGUCGCAAAAUAUGAAAUGUGUAUCUACCGAAA